GGGUUGUGAGGUUAAGCGACUAAGCGUACACGGUGGAUGCCCUGGCAGUCAGAGGCGAUGAAGGACGUGCUAAUCUGCGAUAAGCGUCGGUAAGGUGAUAUGAACCGUUAUAACCGGCGAUUUCCGAAUGGGGAAACCCAGUGUGUUUCGACACACUAUCAUUAACUGAAUCCAUAGGUUAAUGAGGCGAACCGGGGGAACUGAAACAUCUAAGUACCCCGAGGAAAAGAAAUCAACCGAGAUUCCCCCAGUAGCGGCGAGCGAACGGGGAGCAGCCCAGAGCCUGAAUCAGUGUGUGUGUUAGUGGAAGCGUCUGGAAAGGCGCGCGAUACAGGGUGACAGCCCCGUACACAAAAAUGCACAUGCUGUGAGCUCGAUGAGUAGGGCGGGACACGUGGUAUCCUGUCUGAAUAUGGGGGGACCAUCCUCCAAGGCUAAAUACUCCUGACUGACCGAUAGUGAACCAGUACCGUGAGGGAAAGGCGAAAAGAACCCCGGCGAGGGGAGUGAAAAAGAACCUGAAACCGUGUACGUACAAGCAGUGGGAGCACGCUUAGGCGUGUGACUGCGUACCUUUUGUAUAAUGGGUCAGCGACUUAUAUUCUGUAGCAAGGUUAACCGAAUAGGGGAGCCGAAGGGAAACCGAGUCUUAACUGGGCGUUAAGUUGCAGGGUAUAGACCCGAAACCCGGUGAUCUAGCCAUGGGCAGGUUGAAGGUUGGGUAACACUAACUGGAGGACCGAACCGACUAAUGUUGAAAAAUUAGCGGAUGACUUGUGGCUGGGGGUGAAAGGCCAAUCAAACCGGGAGAUAGCUGGUUCUCCCCGAAAGCUAUUUAGGUAGCGCCUCGUGAAUUCAUCUCCGGGGGUAGAGCACUGUUUCGGCAAGGGGGUCAUCCCGACUUACCAACCCGAUGCAAACUGCGAAUACCGGAGAAUGUUAUCACGGGAGACACACGGCGGGUGCUAACGUCCGUCGUGAAGAGGGAAACAACCCAGACCGCCAGCUAAGGUCCCAAAGUCAUGGUUAAGUGGGAAACGAUGUGGGAAGGCCCAGACAGCCAGGAUGUUGGCUUAGAAGCAGCCAUCAUUUAAAGAAAGCGUAAUAGCUCACUGGUCGAGUCGGCCUGCGCGGAAGAUGUAACGGGGCUAAACCAUGCACCGAAGCUGCGGCAGCGACGCUGAUGCGUUGUUGGGUAGGGGAGCGUUCUGUAAGCCUGCGAAGGUGUGCUGUGAGGCAUGCUGGAGGUAUCAGAAGUGCGAAUGCUGACAUAAGUAACGAUAAAGCGGGUGAAAAGCCCGCUCGCCGGAAGACCAAGGGUUCCUGUCCAACGUUAAUCGGGGCAGGGUGAGUCGACCCCUAAGGCGAGGCCGAAAGGCGUAGUCGAUGGGAAACAGGUUAAUAUUCCUGUACUUGGUGUUACUGCGAAGGGGGGACGGAGAAGGCUAUGUUGGCCGGGCGACGGUUGUCCCGGUUUAAGCGUGUAGGCUGGUUUUCCAGGCAAAUCCGGAAAAUCAAGGCUGAGGCGUGAUGACGAGGCACUACGGUGCUGAAGCAACAAAUGCCCUGCUUCCAGGAAAAGCCUCUAAGCAUCAGGUAACAUCAAAUCGUACCCCAAACCGACACAGGUGGUCAGGUAGAGAAUACCAAGGCGCUUGAGAGAACUCGGGUGAAGGAACUAGGCAAAAUGGUGCCGUAACUUCGGGAGAAGGCACGCUGAUAUGUAGGUGAGGUCCCUCGCGGAUGGAGCUGAAAUCAGUCGAAGAUACCAGCUGGCUGCAACUGUUUAUUAAAAACACAGCACUGUGCAAACACGAAAGUGGACGUAUACGGUGUGACGCCUGCCCGGUGC
rnacentral:rRNA from 1 species